rnacentral:rRNA from 1 species
GAUGAACGCUAGCGGCGGGCCUAAUACAUGCAAGUCGAACGGGAAAGGUGGCAACACCUUGAGAGUGGCGUACGGGUGCGUAACGCGUAUACAACCUGCCUGUUACACGGGGAUAGCCUUGCGAAAGCGAGAUUAAUACCCGAUGGUACUAUUGAGCGGCAUCGCUUGGUAGUUAAAGCUGAGGCGGUAACAGAGGGGUAUGCGUCCCCUUAGCGAGUUGGUAGUGUAACGGACUACCAAGGCGACGCUGGGUCGGGGUUCUGAGAGGAUGAGCCCCCCCAGUGGGAGGGAGAGACGGAGCAGACGGGUACGGGAGGCAGGAGGAGGGAAGAUUGGGCAAUGGAGGGAAGGCUGACCCAGCCACGCCGCGUGCAGGAAGAAGGUCCUCUGGAUUGUAAACUGCGUUUCUUGGGGAAGAAAACCCUUCUGCGGAAGGAAUUGACGGUACUCAAGGAAUAAGCAUCGGCUAACUCCGUG